rnacentral:lncRNA from 1 species
AAAGAAGAAGCACCUCUGUGAACCUGUGGAGUUUCUGUAUUCAGGAAACCCCGUGCAAUAUUCAGCUGUCAAAGGCUACAGAGCGCACACUGCUCCAGUUCUUCCUUUCUUCCUUGCUCUCAUGUCUCCAGCUGACUGCAGGUGGCUCAGCACCACAGUCAUUUGCUCACUUUUUACAACGAUGGAUAUGUAUGCUUGUAUCUGAAGUAAGCAUUUUAAAGAGAUAUUUUUCUCAUUCAAACACUCAUGUUGACAUUAAUUGUGUACAGUAAGGCUAGCUAAUGUACAGUUGGCAAUUAUAAUCUUGUCUCUGAAGACAAGCCCUUAAAAA